CAUCUCUAACUUGUGAGUCGUCGUAUCCCUUGAUCACCAACCCUUUGCCUGAUGGUAAUAAACAAGGUGAAUCAAACCAAAAUGAUCCCACAUAUUACACCAUUGCUGAUCUUCCACCAAGGGGAAACAUGAUAGAUACAUUUCAAACUAAUGAGUCGCCAUAUUCAUUGAUCACCAGCUGAAUGAUCAGAAGUAUUUCUUACUGAAACCUAAG